GGGGGCAUAGCUCAGCUGGGAGAGCACCUGCUNUUUGCAAGCAGGGGGUCGUCGGUUCGAACCCGUCUGCCUCCACCA
rnacentral:tRNA from 1 species